GAUGAACGCUGGCGGCGUGCCUAAUACAUGCAAGUCGAGCGGACGGACGAGAAGCUUGCUUCUCUGACGUUAGCGGCGCACGGGUGUGUAACACGUGUAUAACCUACCUAUCUGUCUGGGAUCACUUCGGAAAACCGGCGCUAAUCCCGGAUAAUCUUUUGAACCGCAUGGUUCAAAAGUGAAAGACGGUCUUGCUGUCUCUUAUCGCUGCAUCCCCGCUGCAUUAGCUAGUUGGUAAGGUCACGGCCUACCACGGCGACGAUGCAUAGACGAACUGAGAGGGUGAUAGGCCACACUGGAAGUGAGACAGGGUCCAGGCGCCUACGGGAGGCAGCAGUAGGGAAUGUGCCGCAAUGGGCGAAAGCCUGACGGAGCAACGCGGCGUGAGUGAUGAAGGUCUUCGGAUCGUAAAACUCUGUUAUUAGGGAAGAACAGAUGUGGAAGUAAAUGUGCACAGCUUGACGGUACCUAAUCAGAAAGCCACGGCUAACUACGUG
rnacentral:rRNA from 1 species